CACGUAGUUAGCCGGGGCUUCUUAGUCAGGUACUGUCACUUUCUUCCCUGCUGAUAGAGCUUUACAUACCGAGAUACUUCAUCGCUCACGCGGCGUCGCUGCAUCAGGGUUUCCCCCAUUGCGCAAUAUUCCCCACUGCUGCCUCCCGCAGGAGUCUGGGCCGUGUCUCAGUCCCAAUGUGGCCGGCCGCCCUCUCAGGCCGGCUACUGAUCGUCGCCUUGGUGGCCGUUACCCCGCCAACGAGCUAAUCAGACGCGGGCCCAUCCCAUACCACCGGAGUUUUCCCCAGGAAGCUAUGCAGCCUCCUGGCGUAUGCGUAUUAGCAGCCGUUUCCGGCUGUUACUCCCCGGUAUGGGGCAGGUUCGCCCACGCGUUACUCACCCGUCCGCCACUCAGACAACUUACCGUUCCUACCCGGAAGGGAACUCCCUAGUAACCGCGUUCGUCGACUUGCUA
rnacentral:rRNA from 1 species